rnacentral:rRNA from 1 species
GACGAACGCUGGCGGCGUGCCUAACACAUGCAAGUAGAACGCUGAAGCGAGGAGCUUGCUCUUCUUGGAUGAGUUGCGAACGGGUGAGUAACGCGUAGGUAACCUGCCUUGUAGCGGGGGAUAACUAUUGGAAACGAUAGCUAAUACCGCAUAACAAUGGAUGACACAUGUCAUUUAUUUGAAAGGGGCAAUUGCUCCACUACAAGAUGGACCUGCGUUGUAUUAGCUAGUAGGUGAGGUAAUGGCUCACCUAGGCGACGAUACAUAGCCGACCUGAGAGGGUGAUCGGCCACACUGGGACUGAGACACGGCCCAGACUCCUACGGGAGGCAGCAGUAGGGAAUCUUCGGCAAUGGGGGCAACCCUGACCGAGCAACGCCGCGUGAGUGAAGAAGGUUUUCGGAUCGUAAAGCUCUGUUGUAAGUCAAGAACGGGUGUGAGAGUGGAAAGUUCACACUGUGACGGUAGCUUACCAGAAAGGGACGGCUAACUACGUG